GUCUACGGCCAUACCACCCUGAACGCACCCGAUCUUGUCUGAUCUCGGAAGCUAAGCAGGGUCGGGCCUGGUUAGUACUUGGAUGGGCGAAUACUGUCUUUAGAUCUGCUGUGUACC
ensembl:rRNA 5S_rRNA 5S ribosomal RNA